rnacentral:rRNA from 1 species
GACGAACGCUGGCGGCGUGCUUAACACAUGCAAGUCGAACGGAAAGGCCCUGCUUUUGUGGGGUGCUCGAGUGGCGAACGGGUGAGUAACACGUGAGUAACCUGCCCUUGACUUUGGGAUAACUUCAGGAAACUGGGGCUAAUACCGGAUAGGAGCUCCUGCUGCAUGGUGGGGGUUGGAAAGUUUCGGCGGUUGGGGAUGGACUCGCGGCUUAUCAGCUUGUUGGUGGGGUAGUGGCUUACCAAGGCUUUGACGGGUAGCCGGCCUGAGAGGGUGACCGGGCAAAUGGGAAUGAGGAAAGGGCCAGGAGCAGAAGGGGGGGGAAGGGGGGGAAAAAGUAACCAAGGGGCGGAAGCCUGAGGGAAAAACGCCGGGGGGGGAAGAAGGGCCUUCGGGUUGAAAACCGUUUUGGCGGGUGACGAAGGGUGAGGACGGGAAAUGGGGAAAAAAGCACCGGCAAAUAAGGG